UUUUCGGUGUAGGAUGAGACUAUAUAGUAUCAGCUAGUUGGUAAGGUAAUGGCUUACCAAGGCUAUGACGCUUAACUGGUCUGAGAGGAUGAUCAGUCACACUGGAACUGAGACACGGUCCAGACUCCUACGGGAGGCAGCAGUAGGGAAUAUUGCGCAAUGGGGGAAACCCUGACGCAGCAACGCCGCGUGGAGGAUGACACUUUUCGGAGCGUAAACUCCUUUUCUUAGGGAAGAAUUCUGACGGUACCUAAGGAAUAAGCACCGGCUAACUCCGUGCCAGCAGCCGCGGUAAUACGGAGGGUGCAAGCGUUACUCGGAAUCACUGGGCGUAAAGGGCGCGUAGGCGGAUUAUCAAGUCUCUUGUGAAAUCUAAUGGCUUAACCAUUAAACUGCUUGGGAAACUGAUAGUCUAGAGUGAGGGAGAGGCAGAUGGAAUUGGUGGUGUAGGGGUAAAAUCCGUAGAUAUCACCAAGAAUACCCAUUGCGAAGGCGAUCUGCUGGAACUCAACUGACGCUAAGGCGCGAAAGCGUGGGGAGCAAACAGGAUUAGAUACCCUGGUAGUCCACGCCCUAAACGAUGUACACUAGUUGUUGGGGUGCUAGUCAUCUCAGUAAUGCAGCUAACGCAUUAAGUGUACCGCCUGGGGAGUACGGUCGCAAGAUUAAAACUCAAAGGAAUAGACGGGGACCCGCACAAGCGGUGGAGCAUGUGGUUUAAUUCGAAGAUACGCGAAGAACCUUACCUGGGCUUGAUAUCCUAAGAACCUUUUAGAGAUAAGAGGGUGCUAGCUUGCUAGAACUUAGAGACAGGUGCUGCACGGCUGUCGUCAGCUCGUGUCGUGAGAUGUUGGGUUAAGUCCCGCAACGAGCGCAACCCACGUAUUUAGUUGCUAACGGUUCGGCCGAGCACUCUAAAUAGACUGCCUUCGUAAGGAGGAGGAAGGUGUGGACGACGUCAAGUCAUCAUGGCCCUUAUGCCCAGGGCGACACACGUGCUACAAUGGCAUAUACAAUGAGACGCAAUACCGCGAGGUGGAGCAAAUCUAUAAAAUAUGUCCCAGUUCGGAUUGUUCUCUGCAACUCGAGAGCAUGAAGCCGGAAUCGCUAGUAAUCGUAGAUCAGCCAUGCUACGGUGAAUACGUUCCCGGGUCUUGUACUCACCGCCCGUCACACCAUGGGAGUUGAUUUCACUCGAAGCCGGAAUACUAAACUAGUUACCGUCCACAGUGGAAUCAGCGACUGGGGUGAAGUCGUAACAAGGUAACCGUAGGAGAACCUGCGGUUGGAUCACCUCCUUUCUA
rnacentral:rRNA from 1 species